GACGGAGAGUGCAAACGUUGUUCGGAUUUACUGGGCGUAAAGGGCACGUAGGCGGCCCGGCGACUCGGUUGUGGAAUCCUCUCGCUUAACGGGAGAACUGCUGCCGAAAAUACCGGGCUCGAGGUCGUGAGGGGUGCGUGGAACUCCUGGUGGAGCGGUGAAAUGCGUAGAUACUAGGAGGAACGCCGGAGGCGAAAGCGACGCACUAGGACGAUCCUGACGCUGAGGUGCGAAAGCUAGGGGAGCAAACAGG
rnacentral:rRNA from 1 species